CGUCAUGGUGGCUGCGUACGGGUGGCCUUCGGGUCAGCCGGGCUUACUCUAGUUGCCCCGGUCUUGCAGGCCCGUACGUAGCCGCCACCCUU
rnacentral:antisense_RNA from 1 species